UUUGCUAUUUCUGUUGUUGUUGUUGUCGCUGAUGUCUUGUUUUCACUGGUGUCUGAACAGCCCGUAUUGGGAAGCUGAAGAGGAGGAAAGCAGAGGAAGAACAGAGGGACAGUGUAUGUGUCGUGGAGAAUGGAUCUGUUGGAGGAGGCGGAGACGAAUACGAGUGGAGUGAACAGAAACGAAUGCACAUGGUGUCCAUCCUGAGGGGCUUCAGAGGUUUGGUCAGCAGCACGGUGAAGGAGAAUCAGGACAGUGAUGCAGACCUGGACGUGGAUGGAGACGACACCCUGAACUACGGCAAAGCGCAAUACUCAGAGACAGACGUGAUCCCCAGCUCGCGGGACGCAGAGGACAGUGCAGUGAAGUAUGAGUCCAUUCAGACUGUCUUUGAUUGACAGACACUUUAUCUGAGACAAUGACAGAUGUAA
ensembl:lncRNA